rnacentral:rRNA from 1 species
GAUGAACGCUGGCGGCGUGCUUAACACAUGCAAGUCGAACGGAAAGGCUCCUGCUUGCAGGGGUACUCGAGUGGCGAACGGGUGAGUAACACGUGGGUGAUCUGCCCUGCACUUCGGGAUAAGCCUGGGAAACUGGGUCUAAUACCGGAUAGGACGAUGGUUUGGAUGCCAUUGUGGAAAGUUUUUCGGUGUGGGAUGAGCUCGCGGCCUAUCAGCUUGUUGGUUGGGUAAUGGCCUACCAAGGCGUCGACGGGUAGCCGGCCUGAGAGGGUGUACGGCCACAUUGGGACUGAGAUACGGCCCAGACUCCUACGGGAGGCAGCAGUGGGGAAUAUUGCACAAUGGGCGCAAGCCUGAUGCAGCGACGCCGCGUGGGGGAUGACGGCCUUCGGGUUGUAAACUCCUUUCGCUAGGGACGAAGCGCAAGUGACGGUACCUGGAGAAGAAGCACCGGCUAACUACGUG